CUUUAACCACAGCUACUUAAAGUCUUUAUUCAUUUACAGAUAGUUUUUGUUUUACUAUGGUGUUUCCCUGAAAGCUCUUGUAAUCAGCUAUGGACGGGAGUGCUUCAUCUUCAACACAGGAGGACCAUCUCAGAACCUCGUGGAACAGCACCACGUUAGGGCACAGGCUUCAGACGGCAUCAUUUACCCAACUUGGAGACAGGAAGUCCAAAACUAGCUGAGAAGUAGAUGGAUUCGUGCGACUGUUAACCCAAGAUUGAGUGGGGAGCUGACUUUUUCUAGGAAAAAAUGCUUAAGUUCCCUCUAGUCUAAAGUUUCAUCACUGAACCUACCUCCAUUCCAUUCCAACACUCGCAGAAAAUGGAAACCUAUUCCAGCAUAUCUGGAGAAGAAUUGCCAAGAAAUCCUGGACACUUUUCUUGUCAAAGCAGCAUCCACAGCUAUCAAUAGAAUCACCAGUGCAUUACUCGGCAACAGGGUGUUGCACUAUCCAGAAGCAAGCGAUAUUGUGAGCCAACUAACACUCAGUGGUGUUUUGAGAAAUUUGAGAGAGAGGGGAGCACUUUCCCCAGCAUCUGAUGUCUGAUUGAUGCUUCCUGGCAAGAUGAGACUCCUCUGUGUCCUGUGUUUCAACAGCACAUUGUCAGACCACUUGCAACAUACCAUGCUUUCAGACCAGAGAGCUGGAAUUUCAAGAGACUGCGUUUUAUUUUGAAGGUUCAGUUUCAAGUUCAACUCAUUAUUUGCAGACAUUGCUAUUCUACAAGCAAGUUUUAAGGAGUGAAAAUUUUAAGGAACGUAUCAUCACAUUACCUUGUCAUGUAAUAAAGUCAAUUUGCAAUUUUUUCUCAAGGUAAAGUAGUCUUAAUUAGGAAAAUGCUACUAUGAGUGAGCCCAACUGGUAGUUUUCUAAUCUUUAGCUUAUUUUGCUUGUGAGUGUGCAUGUGUGUGUGUGUGUUUGUAACAAAGGACAUCUUGAGAGGAAUAAGAGAAGAGUGUAGCCUAGCAUCCACUGGAUAAAUUAUGCUUUAGACCAUAAACCAGUGACAGGAUGCUACUGAGGCUUCAUGUUAAUCAUACAGAGGGACGAGAGGAACCCAGGUGGACAAACACGAUUGAACAGACUUUUCUGACUUUCUACAAAAGUCCUGAUACUUCAAAAUUAUGGCACCAAAAAAAAAAAUUGGGAAUAAUCAGAUAUUUGCAUAUGCUUUUAUUGUCAUUCCCUUUACGUCCAGAGAAUCUAGGCACUUUAUGUCCGUUGAGAUCUUGCAGCAUCUUUGACCAAGAUCAGCUCCCUCAUGGGCUAGGACAGAGUUAGAGUACCCAUCCGCAUCAGUAUAUACAUGUAAAUAAUUUAGGAUUUUUGAUAGAGUUACCAUCCACUUGCCCAGACAGUCUAGGUUUAUGUCUCUUGUGGAAUUAAUUGGACCCAGGCAAAGAUAUUGUAGUUUGGGGUAUGUGAGAAUGAUAGGGACAAUGAAAUUGCCCACAUUAAUGCAGGAAGGGGAGCCUUGGUCACUUAGCAUGUGUAGUGGGACAAUGGCAAACGUUGCUUUUGGAGGGAUGGGUCAUAUUGCCAGCAGUAUUAUUGAGGGAGGAAUCGUUGCAUCUAAUCUUGGUGAAAAGAUAUGAUUUUAUUCUUUAGAGUACAAAUCUAAAAGUAGAAAUACUGUGUCAAUGAUUAUAAAGAUUUUUAAGUCUCUUGAUACAUAUUUUCUUUAGAAAUGUUACACUAAUUUUACAUUUUAUGUUAAAGAAUAGUGUUCCUUAGUAAUUGUGAUCAUAUUGAGCAUUAUCUUAAUUCGUCUUUGCUUAUUUGGUGAGAGUAUUUUUCAUGCAAUGUAAAUUGUGCAUUAUUACUGGGUAUGCAUAUUUAUUAUUUUCAUUUGUUCAAUACCAUUUACAUUUUUCUUGAAUAAAUGGUAAGUUUAUAUCUAUUCCUUUUACUGAGAUGUUGGUAA